rnacentral:rRNA from 1 species
CCUACGGGUGGCAGCAGUGGGGAAUAUUGCGCAAUGGGGGAAAGCCUGACGCAGCAACGCCGCGUGGAGGAUGAAGGUUUUCGGAUUGUAAACUCCUGUUGUUAGAGAAGAUAUUGACUCUAUCUAACGAAUAGUCACCGGAUAACUCCGUGACAGCAGCCGCGGUAAUACGGAGGGUGCAAGCGUUAGUCGGAAGUACUGGUCGUAAAGAGCACGUAGGCGGCAUAGCAAGGCAGAUGUGAAAUCCCACGGCUUAACCGUAGAACUGCAUUUGAAACUGUUAAUCUAGAGUAUGGGAGAGGGAGGUGGAAUUCUUGGUGUAGGGGUGAAAUCCGUAGAGAUCAAGAGGAAGA